AGUCUGGCGGGAGCCGUCGCGGCUGGCUCGGCAGCUCCAGGCUAUUCCGAGGAACAGUCUUCAGAGAGCCUGGGGUGCUGAUGGGGAAAAGCUGUUGCUGAGAUUUGACAAGUUUGGUCCUGAGAUGUCAGAAAGGAUUUCAGCUCUUCUGCCACCCCAAGGACGGUGGCGCGUAAAUCACAAGGACAAUGAAUCCAGGCAGUGAUCCACCAAUGAUAACUAACAUCAUAAAAAGAUACAUGGCCGGAUAUGAUGUUCCUUCUGACGGAAGACCACAACACCUGCUGAAAAAUCAAAUCUGAAUCGGAUCAAGCCUCUAGAGCAUAGGCAUCCUGGGACCACGGAGCAGCCACCAACGACUACAGAUGAAACACAAGCCUCUCCGGUCACUUUUUGCUGGCCGUUGGAAGGAGGCUGUUGAGUGGGAGUGGAACCUCCAGGUUUCCUGGGGCACUAUUCUGGAUCCCCUCAUCUCAGCUCUGUGAGGUCAUGGCUAAGCCUGAAACAGGUCCCAACUCAUUCAAUCUUGCCAUAAACCUAUGAAAUGGGUGUCAGCCAUGAGGCUUUGGUUGCAAAUAACAGAAACCCCAACUUAACUGUCAUAUGGAAGCAGAGAAGCAACUGACUCUUUGCCAGAGGCUUAUGUCAUGACUCCAAGUAGUGAGGGGGUGGCUGUUCAGGUCAAAGGAUUAGCAACAAUGACUGGCUUAAACAACGAAAAACUGCAUCUAUGAUCUUAGCAACAACAUUCAGUAACAUUAGGUAUCACCAGGGAGGAGGACGCCACCUCCCUGGUGAUAGCUGAUUGGACCAGAGGGAAGCCCCAGUCCCAGGGCAGCCAAUCAGCAGCCUGCAAGCAGCCAAUGAGAUGGCCUGGAGGGGGAGUUCUGCCCAAUCACAAUACCAAUAAAUAAGAGGUCCAGGCUGGAUCUCUGUCUUGGA
rnacentral:lncRNA from 1 species